rnacentral:ncRNA from 1 species
AUCAGGCGCGGGUGGUCAUUCCGCCCCGCCGGGCCGGCGCUUCCGCACGGGGCGAAUCCGGUCGGGCGUCCGUCGAUAACCGGGCGCCGCG